rnacentral:rRNA from 1 species
GACGAACGCUGGCGGCGUGCUUAACACAUGCAAGUCGAACGAUGAAGGAGAGCUUGCUCUCCGGAUUAGUGGCGAACGGGUGAGUAACACGUGACUAACCUGCCCCUUUCACCGGGAUAACGCUCCGAAAGGAGUGCUAAUACCGGAUACGAACUCUGAACACAUGUUCGGAGUUGGAAAGUUUUUCGGAAAGGGAUGGAGUCGCGGCCCAUCAGCUUGUUGGUGAGGUAACGGCUCACCAAGGCGACGACGGGUAGCCGGCCUGAGAGGACGACCGGCCAGACUGGGACUGAGACACGGCCCAGACUCCUGCGGGAGGCAGCAGUGGGGAAUAUUGCACAAUGGGCGAAAGCCUAAUGCAGCGACGCCGCGUGAGGGAUGAAGGUCUUCGGAUUGUAAACCUCUUUCAGUAGGGACGAAGCGAAAGUGACGGUACCUAAAGAAGAAGCACCGGCUAACUACGUGCCAGCCGCCGCCGUAA